AUUGAACGCUGGCGGAAUGCUUUACACAUGCAAGUCGAACGAUGAACCUUAGCUUGCUAAGGGAAUUAGUGGCGAACGGGUGAGUGAUGUAUCGGAACGUAUCCAAUAAUGGGGGAUAACUAGUCGAAAGAUUAGCUAAUACCGCAUACGUCCUACGGGAGAAAGCUAGGGACCUUCGGGCCUGGCGUUAAUGGAGCGGCCGAUAUCUGAUUAGCUAGUUGGGGGGGUGAAGGCUCACCAAGGCGACGAUCAGUAGCCGGUCUGAGAGGACGACCAGCCACACUGGAACUGAGACACGGUCCAGACUCCUACGGGAGGCAGCAGUGGGGAAUUUUGGACAAUGGGCGAAAGCCUGAUCCAGCCAUUCCGCGUGAGUGAAGAAGGCCUUCGGGUUGUAAAGCUCUUUCGCAAGGGAAGAAAACUUAAGCUCUAACAUAGCUUGAGGUUGACGGUACCUUGAUAAGAAGCACCGGCUAACUACGUGCCAGCCGCCGCAGUAA
rnacentral:rRNA from 1 species